CCCCGGGUCCUGCGCGGCGGGGCGCCGUGAAUCUGGUCAGGUCCGGAAGGAAGCAGCCAUAAGCGGUUUGCUCCGGGCGCCGCAGUCAAGCCUGGUGGCC
rnacentral:SRP_RNA from 1 species